rnacentral:rRNA from 1 species
GAAAGCGUGGGGAGCAAAUAGGAUUAGAUACCCUAGUAGUCCACGCCGUAAACGAUGAGAACUAAGUGUUGGAGGAAUUCAGUGCUGCAGUUAACGCAAUAAGUUCUCCGCCUGGGGAGUAUGCACGCAAGUGUGAAACUCAAAGGAAUUGACGGGGGCCCGCACAAGCGGUGGAGUAUGUGGUUUAAUUCGAAGCAACGCGAAGAACCUUACCAGGGCUUGACAUCCCACUAACGAAGCAGAGAUGCAUUAGGUGCCCUUCGGGGAAAGUGGAGACAGGUGGUGCAUGGUUGUCGUCAGCUCGUGUCGUGAGAUGUUGGGUUAAGUCCCGCAACGAGCGCAACCCUUAUUGUUAGUUGCCAUCAUUUAGUUGGGCACUCUAGCGAGACUGCCGGUGACAAACCGGAGGAAGGUGGGGAUGACGUCAAAUCAUCAUGCCCCUUAUGGCCUGGGCUACACACGUACUACAAUGGCGACCACAAAGAGCAGCGACUUGGUGACAAGAAGCGAAUCUCAUAAAGGUCGUCUCAGUUCGGAUUGAAGUCUGCAACUCGACUUCAUGAAGUCGGAAUCGCUAGUAAUCGCAGAUCAGCAUGCUGCGGUGAAUACGUUCUCGGGCCUUGUACACACCGCCCGUCAAACCAUGGGAGUCAGUAAUACCCGAAGCCGGUGGCAUAACCGUAAGGAGUGAGCCGUCGAAGGUAGGACCGAUGACUGGGGUUAAGUCGUAACAAGGUAUCCCUACGGGAACGUGGGGAUG